CCGGGGCUAAUACCGGAUAAUAUAUUGAACCGCAUGGUUCAAUAUUGAAAGACGGUUUCGGCUGUCACUUAUAGAUGGACCCGCGCCGUAUUAGCUAGUUGGUAAGGUAAUGGCUUACCAAGGCAACGAUACGUAGCCGACCUGAGAGGGUGAUCGGCCACACUGGAACUGAGACACGGUCCAGACUCCUACGGGAGGCAGCAGUAGGGAAUCUUCCGCAAUGGGCGAAAGCCUGACGGAGCAACGCCGCGUGAGUGAUGAAGGUCUUAGGAUCGUAAAACUCUGUUGUUAGGGAAGAACAAAUUUGUUAGUAACUGAACAAGUCUUGACGGUACCUAACCAGAAAGCCACGGCUAACUACGUGCCAGCAGCCGCGGUAAUACGUAGGUGGCAAGCGUUAUCCGGAAUUAUUGGGCGUAAAGCGCGCGUAGGCGGUUUCUUAAGUCUGAUGUGAAACCCACGGCUCAACCGUGGAGGGUCAUUGGAAC
rnacentral:rRNA from 2 species